rnacentral:rRNA from 1 species
UACGUAGGGUGCAAGCGUUGUCCGGAAUUAUUGGGCGUAAAGAGCUCGUAGGCGGCUUGUCGCGUCUGCUGUGAAAACCUGGGGCUCAACCCCGGGCCUGCAGCCGAUACGGGCAAGCUAGAAUUCGGUAGGGGAGACUGGAAUUCCUGGUGUAGCGGUGAAAUGCGCAGAUAUCAGGAGGAACACCGGUGGCGAAGGCGGGUCUCUGGGCCGAUAUUGACGCUGAGGAGCGAAAGCGUGGGGAGCGAACAGG